ACUGGAGGAUUGAGGAAACACCAUACAAUCAAGCAGUAACAGACACCAGGAGGAUCCUAUGAAUCUUCUGUCCUUGGAAGCAUGUUUCUGAGAUCCAUACAAUGAAGAAUUUCUAGGACCUGCAUGUAGAAUCCACAAACAAAAUACUGCCAUCCUAAGAAGAGUCACCUCCAAAUCAGAAAGUAAGGACAAUGGACCUAUCUUUUCCUCUGUAGCCUGCUUAGAAUUUACCUGCUUCCACCAUAGCAGCACUGCUUCCAACAUUGGCAGACGCACUUCGUGAAAGUCAGAUUGAAGCAAGUGAACUACCAUUGAAGAAGGAUUCAUCAUUUGCUCUGCAACAGGUGAACUACUGUUUGAGAAGUCAGGAUCUGCAGCCACUGAGAGCACAGAGAUUACAAGUUUGGUGAUACUCUGAAGAUACUGUGUGAAUCCUGGUAUCGCAGAGAAGUAGUGGAUACCUGUCAUCAGCUCAGAAGCUGAGAUAACCUUACUUAUUUCCUCCCAAAAGCCAAAUAACUCUAUUCCUGAAAUAGAAUGUAAAAUAAAUAAAUAAAUAAAAAUACAAAUUGAUAUUAUACAUGUAUUCUUGACAACUAAAGGAUUCUAUGUAAUUAAAAACCCUGAGGUUUGAAAAAAUGGCCA